UCCUUAGAUGUUCUGGGCCGCACGCGCGCUACACUGAUGCAUUCAACGAGCCUAUCCUUGACCGACAGGUCCGGGUAAUCUUUGAAUCUGCAUCGUGACGGGGAUAGAUUAUUGCAAUUAUUAAUCUUCAACGAGGAAUGCCUAGUAGGCGCAAGUCAUCAGCUUGCGUCGAUUACGUCCCUGCCCUUUGUACACACCGCCCGUCGCUCCUACCGAUUGGGUGUGCUGGUGAAAUGUUCGGAUCGGCCGUUUGUCGCGGUUUCCGCGUCAUGUGGCUGAGAAGUUCAUUAAACCCUCCCACCUAGAGGAAGGAGAAGUCGUAACA
rnacentral:rRNA from 1 species